ensembl:lncRNA
GCCCGCCCCAAAGCCUCUUAAGCUCCUCCGGAGGCUGCCGGGAGCCACGGAGGAGUUUCUGCGGUUGUGGAUAGGAGACGGAGUGAGUUCUGUUUCUUUGUCGGGCCCUGACGCUGCUGAGGCUGAGAAGCGGCUGCUGUGAGACCUUUUGUGCGGGUGCUUCAGUUCUUCAGGCUCUCCUCGGCUGAGCGAGGGCUGCAGCAGAGGCUCUCAUCGGCCCGAAGCGGUGAGCUCGUGGAAGGCGGUGAGUGUUCGAGAGUCGCUCGGUAAGAUCUCUCGUGCUGGGGCUCCUGUAGGGUUGCUGCUCGACUGCCUCUGUCUUUGGGAUCGGCACGGCGCCGCCGCUGGGCUCCCGCGUGGCUUUUUAGUAGGACCGGCACGGGGCCUCCGCCCGAGACCGAGCACGAUCCCGGGGUGGCCUCGGCCCCGGGGAGGGUUUUGCGGGUGCUCUCACCCAU